rnacentral:rRNA from 1 species
GAUGAACGCUGGCGGCGUGCCUAAUACAUGCAAGUCGAGCGAACAGACGAGGAGCUUGCUCCUCUGACGUUAGCGGCGGACGGGUGAGUAACACGUGGAGAACCUACCUAUAAGACUGGGAUAACUUCGGGAAACCGGAGCUAAUACCGGAUAAUAUAUUGAACCGCAUGGUUCAAUAGUGAAAGACGGUUUUGCUGUCACUUAUAGAUGGAUCCGCGCCGCAUUAGCUAGUUGGUAAGGUAACGGCUUACCAAGGGAACGAUGCGUAGCCGACCUGAGAGGGUUGUCGGCCACACGGGAACUGAGACACGGUCCAGACUCCUACGGGAGGCAGCAGUAGGGAAUCUUCCGCAGUGGGCGAAAGCCUGAAGGAGCAACGCCGCGUGAGUGAUGAAGGUCUUCGGAUCGUAAAACUCUGUUAUUAGGGAAGAACAAAUGUGUAAGUAACUAUGCACGUCUUGACGGUACCUAAUCAGAAAGCCACGGCUAACUAC